rnacentral:lncRNA from 10 species
CGCUUCCCAUGUUCAGGUAAUUAUCCUACCUCAGCCUCCCGAGUAGCUGGGAUUACAGGCAUGCGCCACCACACCCGGCUAAUUUUUUGUAUUUUUAGUAGAGAAGGGGUUUCUCCAUGGUGGUCAGGCUGGUCUGAAACUCAAGACUUCAGGUGAUCUGCCCGCCCAGGCCUCCCAAAGUGCUGGGAUUACAGGUGUGAGCCACCGUGCCUGGCCUUACUUUUAGUUCUUUAAGGACUCUCCAUACUCAUUUCCAUAGAGGUUGUAUUAAUUUGCAUUCCCACCAGCAGUGUAUUAGCAUUCCCUUUUCCCCACAUCCAUGCCAGCACCUAUUGUUUUUGACUUCUUAAUAAUGACCAUUCUGGCUGGGGUAAGGUGGUCUCUCGUUGUGGUUUUAAUUUGCAUUUCCCAGAUGAUGAGUGAUGUUGAGCAUUUUUUCAUGUGUUUCUUGGCCAUUAAGACUUUUUUUUUUUUUACGGCAGCUGUAGGUUCACAGCAAAAUUGAGAGGAAAAUACAGAGAGUUCCCAUACACCCCCUCCCCCGCAAACACACAUGUACAUCCUCCCCCAUUAACAGCAAACUCCACCAGAUGGUACAUUUGUUAUAAUUGAUGAAGCUACAUUGACACAUCAUUAUCUCCCAGAGUCUACAGUUUUACAUUAGGGUUCACUCUUGGUGUUGUACAUUCUAUAGGUUUGGACAAAUGUAUAAUGACAUGCAUCCACCACUGUAACAUCAUACAGAGUCGUUUCAUGGCCCUGAGAGUCCCCUGUGCUCUGCCUGUUCAUCCCUCCCUCUCCCCUAACCCCUGGCUAUCAUCAAUCCUUUUACAGUCUAUAUAGUUUUACCUUUUCAGUAUGCCAUAUAGUUGGAAUCAUACAGUAUGUAGCCUUUUCAGACUGGCUUCUUUCAUUUAGUAAUGUGCGUUUAAGGUUCCUCCAUGUGUUACGGCUGGAUAGCUCAUUUCUUUUUUUUUUUUUUUUUUUGAGGCAGAGUCUCGCUCUGUCGCCCAGCAGGCUGGAGUGCAGUUGUUCACCGCAACCUCUGCCUCCCGGGUUCAAGUGAUUCUCCUGCCUCAGCCUCCCAAGUAGCUGGGAUUACAGGCAUGAACCACCAUGCCCGGGUAAUUUUGCAUUUUUAGUAGAGACGGGGUUUCUCCAUGUUGGUCAGGCUGGUCUCGAACUCCUGACCUCAGGUGAUCCGCCCGCCUUGGCCUCCCAAAGUGCUGGGAUUACAGGCAUGAUACAGGCGUGAGCCAUCGUUUUUUGUUUGUUUGUUUGUUUGUUUGAGAUGGAGUUUCACUCUUGUUGCCCAGGCUGGAGUACAAUGGCGUGAUCUUGGCUCACCACAACCUCUGCCUCCUGGGUUUAAGCGAUUCUCCUGCCUCAGCCUCCUGAGCAGCUGGGAUUACAGGCAUACGCCAUCAUGCCCAACUAAUUUUGUAUUUUUAGUAGAGACAGGGUUUCUCUAUGUUGGUCAGGCUGGUCUCAAACUCCUGACCUCAGCUGGUCCGCCCGCCUCAGCCUCCCAAAGUCCUGGGAUUACAGGCAUGAGCCACUGUGCCCAGCCCAGCUCAUUUCUUUUUAGCAUUGAAUAAUACUGCAUUGCCUGGAUGUAUGACAGUUUAUUUAUCCAUUACCCUACUGAAGAACAUCUUGGUUGCUUCCAAGUUUUGGCAAUUAUGAAUAAAGCUGCUAUAAAU